rnacentral:rRNA from 1 species
UACAGAGGUGGCAAGCGUUGUUCGGAAUUACUGGGCGUAAAGAGCACGUAGGUGGAUUUGUAAGUCAGAUGUGAAAGCCUUCUGUUCAACAGAAGAAUUGCAUCUGAAACUGCAAACCUUGAGUGUAGGAGGGGAGAAUGGAACUUCUGGUGGAGCGGUGAAAUGCGUAGAUAUCAGAAGGAACACCGGCGGCGAAAGCGAUUCUCUAGCCUAUAACUGACACUGAGUGUGCGAAAGCUAGGGGAGCAAACGGG